GCAGCCGUGGCCUACUGGUUAGCGCUUCGGACUUGUGACCGGAGGGUUGCCGGUUCGAACCCGACCAGUAGAA
rnacentral:tRNA from 1 species